ACGAUUUCCGGGCAAUGGCCUGGCGGAGGCAAGCUUCAAUCGCGGCGCCAAGAAAAUGGGGCGAGGGAGUUAAGGCGUCCAAGAGAGUAACUAACGUACGAGAGAAAUAGCGAUUGACGCACUGGAAAUCGGCCUCGCCGUGAGCGACAAUGAACGACAGUCGCGCCGUGAGAGAGAGUAACUGCCGGCCGUGGAGGAAGAGAGUGAACAUUGGACGGCGGCGACGGUUAUCAGAAUUAAGUAUCAGCGGAGUACUGCUAGUUUUUGAGAGUAUACUUAACCUUAUUU
rnacentral:lncRNA from 1 species